UCGCUAAGACAGCAACUGAUGAGUUUGGGACAGGAGAGCCUCGCCUCUUCAAGAUCCACUGUCUUUCACAUUCAGAUAGUCCCGUCCCAGAGGGCGUAACCGUCUUGGAACGCCUUUUGGCUUCGUAAAUGAUGACUGCGUCCACCCAGAACUCCUGCACCUACCGCUUCCCCUCCACAGACUUCUCUUAGUCUUGAGCCGAUUUCAAGUCUUUCACGUGACAGAGGUCUGUGUCUCCAGCCCACAUUUCUCCCCGAGGCUCGGUCUCGGGAGCUCGGUGAGCUCGGUGAGCUCGAGGGGCUCCCCCCGAGUCUCCUCACCCCCCACGGCGGGUGUUCCUGCACAUUGUGCUCCUCGGGGUUUCCCAAACCAGCCCUUUCUACUCCGGCAUCCUGAGCACUGGGGUUUGGAUACGGCCCCUGUGUCUUCUUCCUGGAUUCUUCGGUUACACCUUUCCCGAUGCAUUUUUCGUUUUGUUUUGCAAGUAAGGAUGCAAACCAGACUGGUUUGCUUUUGAAACCAUCGUUGAUUUUUCUGGUCAUACCGCAGUACGCAAAUCAGAGUUGUUGGGAGGGUGUUUCCCAGCGGUGCCCGAGCCAGGGUGAAUGAAGAGAAGUCAGGAAAGCACUCAGAGAUGACGCUGUUUCCCCCCACUGAGAACUUAGAUGAUCCAGAACUUCCCAAGGUACACAUCCCUGCCUGGACACCUGCAGGGUCCUGCUCGGUCGUCAAGGAAAAGUUGAAAUAAGCUUGGAACCUGAUGAAACUGGCACAGGGACGGUCUUUUGAUGUGCAUGGUGGUUGUCUGUCAGGCGAAGUGACCACAGGGGGCUGAAGAAAGGCUCAGUGGGUAAAGGUGCCUCGCAAGCCUGCUGAGUUCAGUUUGACCCCGAGAACCCAGCGGGAAAUAGAGUACUGAUGCCACCGAGUCCUGGGAAGUCCACAUGUGUCAGAGCAUGUCUGUGCUGCCCCAUAAGUUACAUGCACAAACAUGCUAAUAAUAGGUAAAAAUCAAAGAGACUCCAGGGCCCAUCUUUGGAUCAAUAAGACUGGAAGCAAAGGAAAGAAACUUUUUGUUAUUUGUUUCUUUUCUCUCAUUUAUUUAACAGGCUUUCUGUAUGACCUUCAGUCCUACAUCAUGACUGUGAAAAUUUGAUGACAUCUUGACUUUUUUUUUUUUUUACAGUGACCCAAUCCCUGGUUUCAGUAAUACCUCCCUGGACUAACAUUCUUCUCUCUCACCGUGUUGCUAUAAUAAUUCAUCCAGGUAAAACACAAUACAUGUGGCACGCCCGCUAUGUAAAAGUAAUUUUUGUCAAUGUCAAAACUAAAGGUGUUGUGUUUUUCUUUUUAACUCUUUGGGUGCCCCACCACCCAGCUCCCAAAUAAAUACAC